UACGUAGGGUGCAAGCGUUAAUCGGAAUUACUGGGCGUAAAGCGUGCGCAGGCGGCUUUGCAAGACAGAUGUGAAAUCCCCGGGCUUAACCUGGGAACUGCAUUUGUGACUGCAUGGCUAGAGUGCGGCAGAGGGGGAUGGAAUUCCGCGUGUAGCAGUGAAAUGCGUAGAUAUGCGGAGGAACACCGAUGGCGAAGGCAAUCCCCUGGGCCUGCACUGACGCUCAUGCACGAAAGCGUGGGGAGCAAACCGG
rnacentral:rRNA from 1 species